CACUUCCUUUCCUUAACCACCUACUCUGUGCCGCCAGCACGGCACUACCCUUCACAGAACAGCUUAUAAUUGUGUGCAUUCCCUUCUUCUGUCGUUUAAUUCAAUCAUCACAUCCACAUUAUGAAGUAGGAACUGUACCACCCCCAUUUUACAGAUGAUGAAACUGAGGCUCAGAGGGCAAAACAGACGGCACAAGAUUACCUAGCUGGUAAACAGCGGAGCCAGGAUCUGAACCUGUUUCUGUCUGACUCUGCCUGUGUUCUUUUUAUGAACGAUCACACUGUCGGAUUCAAGGCCAAACAAUCCCAGGUGGAGAUUUCUUCAUCCGUGGCAAGGCACUGUGACCAAGGAGACAAGUAUGACGUGACUACAAAGCAGAUUCAGUUCCUGGAAAUGCUUACAAAAUGAUUCCUGACACUGGGAGGAGAUAGUUAAAAAAGGAAGAAAAGACGACGAAAAAUUACAAACAUACAUCGAUAAAGGACGAAGGUGGAAAGAAAGAGAAUAGACAAAAGAAAAGAAAGAACUAAAAGAGAGGGUGGGGGAAAGACUUUAAUGGGCCCCAAUUCAAGGAACGUUAUCAAGUUCUCAGCAUCUGCAAUUCACAAGCCGCUCGCGGGUCGGGGCGGCGCAGACCCCGCCCCUUUCUCGGGUGUCGGACGCUCAUUGGUGCGGGCGGCAGUCGCCGACCGGUGACUGCCCGAGGAAAGGUUGCCUGGGACACGCAUCCCUGUGUGAACGCAUGACGUCCCACCCUGGCGCCAGGCUGUCUGGGGCUGAGUCUUAGAUCAACACAGCUGUGGGACCGGGACCCACAGCUGGGCAAAGGAGCGGAUUCCUCAACAAAAAAUAGGAUUGUGAGAAAAGUUCUGAAACAAAAACAGCGCAGACAAAAGCCUUAAUGACAUCCUUUCAUAAAAAUAAAAAAUGCAAGAGGGGGGAAAAAGCUGGUAAAAGGAGCAGAACUGGGAACAGAAAGUUCAGAGGCAUUUGGAAUAAGAGACUGAGGCCCCGCCACCGCUAAACAAGUUGCAGAAGGCCUGAACUAGCCUUCCAGUCCGCUGUUGGAAAAAGAAGUCUUUGGGGUUCAAACUUUAUUCAGUGUUCUCAACCGUAACCUGUUUCUUUCAGAAUUAGAAUCUUACAUUGAAGAGGAGAGGUCAUUUGCUUAGAGGUCAUUUGCUCCCCCCUCCCUCAAUUUUACAGAAAAUGAAGCCCAGGAAGGAAGGAAAUUCCUCCAAGGCCACAAUGCAAGUUAU